GAUGAACGCUGGCGGCGUGCCUAAUACAUGCAAGUCGAGCGAACAGACGAGGAGCUUGCUCCUCCGACGUUAGCGGCGGACGGGUGAGUAACACGUAGGUAACCUACCUAUAAGACUGGGAUAACUUCGGGAAACCGGAGCUAAUACCGGAUAAUAUAUUGAACCGCAUGGUUCAAUAGUGAAAGACGGUUUUGCUGUCACUUAUAGAUGGAUCUGCGCCGCAUUAGCUAGUUGGUAAGGUAACGGCUUACCAAGGCAACGAUACGUAGCCGACCUGAGAGGGUGAUCGGCCACACUGGAACUGAGACACGGUCCAGACUCCUACGGGAGGCAGCAGUAGGGAAUCUUCCGCAAUGGGCGAAAGCCUGACGGAGCAACGCCGCGUGAGUGAUGAAGGUCUUCGGAUCGUAAAACUCUGUUAUUAGGGAAGAACAAACGUGUAAGUAACUAUGCACGUCUUGACGGUACCUAAUCAGAAAGCCACGGCUAACUACGUG
rnacentral:rRNA from 1 species